rnacentral:rRNA from 1 species
GAUGAACGCUAGCGGCAGGCCUAAUACAUGCAAGUCGAACGGUAAGUCCCGAUUUAUCGGGAACACGAGUGGCGCACGGGUGAGUAACGCGUAUGCAACCUACCUCUUACUGGAGAAUAGCCCCGAGAAAUCGGGAUUAAUACUCCAUAAUAUUAUUUUAAGGCAUCUUUUAAUAAUUAAAGCUCCGGCGGUACGAGAUGGGCAUGCGUGACAUUAGCUAGUUGGUAAGGUAACGGCUUACCAAGGCUUCGAUGUCUAGGGGUUCUGAGAGGAUACACCCCCACACUGGUACUGAGACACGGACCAGACUCCUACGGGAGGCAGCAGUAGGGAAUAUUGGGCAAUGGACGAAAGUCUGACCCAGCCAUGCCGCGUGCAGGAUGACGGCCCUAUGGGUUGUAAACUGCUUUUAUAUAGGAAAAAAUACCCGACGUGUCGGGAACUGAUUGUACUAUAUGAAUAAGGAUCGGCUAACUCCGUGCCAGCAGCCGCGGUAAUACGGAGGAUCCCAGCGUUAUCCGGAUUUAUUGGGUUUAAAGGGUGCGCAGGCGGAAUAAUAAGUCAGUUGCGAAAUCCUACGGCUCAACUGUAGAACUGCAAUUGAUACUGUUAUUCUUGAGUAUAGUUGAAGUGGGCGGAAUGUGUUAUGUAGCGGUGAAAUGCAUAGAUAUGACACAGAACACCGAUAGCGAAGGCAGCUCACUAAACUAUUACUGACGCUCAGGCACGAAAGCGUGGGGAGCAAACAGGAUUAGAUACCCUGGUAGUCCACGCCGUAAACGAUGAUCACUCGAUGUUGGCAAUACACAGUCAGCGUCUAAGCGAAAGCACUAAGUGAUCCACCUGGGGAGUACGUUCGCAAGAUUGAAACUCAAAGGAAUUGACGGGGGCCCGCACAAGCGGAGGAGCAUGUGGUUUAAUUCGAUGAUACGCGAGGAACCUUACCUAGGCUUAAAUGUAUAAUGACUUCCCGAGAAAUCGGGAUUCCCUUCGGGGCAGAAUACAAGGUGCUGCAUGGUUGUCGUCAGCUCGUGCCGUGAGGUGUCGGGUUAAGUCCCAUAACGAGCGCAACCCCUAUCCUUAGUUGCCAGCACGUAAUGGUGGGGACUCUAAGGAAACUGCCUACGCAAGUAGUGAGGAAGGUGGGGAUGACGUCAAAUCAGCACGGCCCUUAUGUCUAGGGCUACACACGUGCUACAAUGGUCGGUACAGAGGGCAGCUAUCUGGUAACAGAAUGCUAAUCUCGAAAACCGUUCUCAGUUCGGAUCGAAGUCUGCAACUCGACUUCGUGAAGUUGGAUUCGCUAGUAAUCGCAUAUCAGCAAUGACGCGGUGAAUACGUUCCCGGGCCUUGUACACACCGCCCGUCAAGCCAUGGAAGUUGGGAGUACCUAAAGUCGAUAACCGCAAGGAGUCGCCUAGGGUAAAAUCAAUGACUAGGGCU